UGAGAUUAAGCCUCUCCAAACACUCACAUGUGGUUGUAUGUGUCUUUAAUCAUAUGCCUAUGUGUUUUGCUCGAUGACAGAGGAAGGCUUUGAUGCUAAAGAUACAGUGAACUUCUUAAGUAGGGAGAAAGGGUUUCUGAGCUUCAUGUGAAAGCACUUGUUUUCAGUCUUGAAUAUUUUGAUAGAAGCAUUUAUUCUAGGAUUUCCAUUGCAGAGAAAACUCCUACCAGACGAAGAUACGAAGUGAUAGAGGAGGAUGUAUAUUCCAGGAAACAAUUACCCUGGGUCUUUGCAGAGCAAAAAGAAGAAAGGGAGUAAAAUCUAAAGCAUUAAUUCCACACCCCUCCACAUCCCCCCAACGUUCUUUCACAGGUCACACACAUGGAACUUGGAGGGAUGUGCAGAAUCCGCCAGCAUCAGCAGUGACCUGUAGAUGGAAUUGUGCUGUGGACAUGGAGAACAGAUGUGCUGUCUGAAGUUACUGACAGAGAGACAGCAAGAGAGAAACACUGGGAAAAAAGACUAAUAAGAGAAGAUCUCAUCACUUCAUUAAAAGAGGAAAUAUGUGACAAGAGUCCACCAAAGUGCACCCUUCUGUUUUGUUUAAUCACCAGACAAGUACUGAGAAAACCACAUGAAACUUCAGGACCACUGGAGGGAACUGAUUUUCAGAGCUUCUGAAGAGGUGUGCUGAUCAUGUUGAGCAGCAUGUACAAGAUGGAAAUCCUUUCACAAUGGUGUACUUUUUAUGUAGUUGCUUUCAGGCCUGGGAACAGAGAAUGUCUCCUUGAGUGGUGUAUAAAUAGUGAAAAGUUUCAAACUGCCUCAGGACUCAACUACUGAGAAGUUCAGGAUAAAGAAGGCCCGAUGGGAUGCUGCUGGAUCUAUGAAUGGCUUCAAACUAUUCCUCAAGGCUAAUUUUUAUUCUGGCUACUGAAUUAUAUGACCUUGUUAGAUAGCCAUUAUAUCCUUUGUUGGUGAAUAUGUUUAACACACAAAGGCUUUGCAAUAGAAAAUUGAAGAAAACUUUUGUCUUGCCUCUCAAAUUUAAUGGCUUUCUCUUAUUUCUCUAUGUGCAAAAGAGUUAAGAAAAAAAUGGAAAUAUUACUAUCAGUGGAAGGACCUCUUAUGUGACAUAUAUCUCCCUCUUUUAUUUCUUCUGCCUCCUCCCAGAAUAGUGAACAAAUGUGUCAAAUCCCUUUUAAUUAAUGUCAAAAAUUACUGACAAUUUUUCACAUACUUGAUUCUGCUACUAUAACUUACUGCAUGGACUGAAUUCAAGUGUGACAUAAAUAACUGUUACCUUUUCUUUGUGUUUAUUUAGCAGAGCUGCUGUGUAUAUCUGUGUACACAUGCAUGCACAAUACUGUAUGCAUGCUUGUUUGCUGCAUUGUUGCUGGAAAAUUGUUGUGGAUUAUUCCAUACAGUCUGAGGGAGAAUGGGAACUGAAAUUGCAUUGAAACAGCAAAAGAGGAAUGGAUCCCUGUGCCUGAGGCUAAUUUCGAGGAAAUGAAAAGCUGCUUUGCAAAGUGAAUUGCAGUUUAUACAGAAGCUUAUCAUGCAUUUCAUAGGACUGCGCAUUCCCAUAACCUCAACUGAACUUUUCAGAUUUUCUUGGUGUUUUUUUAAAGUUUUAACUCUUAGAAUAAUGCAUGCUUUGCUUAAAAGUGAUUUUUAUACUACUCAUGGUUGUACAACAAAAGCACUACAAGUCAUUUGCCUACAGCUUAAUUGUUAAAAUAAAAAGGAGAAGUACAACAGGA